GACGAACGCUGGCGGCGUGCCUAAUACAUGCAAGUAGAACGCUGAAGGAGGAGCUUGCUCUUCUGGAUGAGUUGCGAACGGGUGAGUAACGCGUAGGUAACCUGCCUGGUAGCGGGGGAUAACUAUUGGAAACGAUAGCUAAUACCGCAUAACAGUAGAUGUUGCAUGACAUUUACUUAAAAGGUGCAAUUGCAUCACUACCAGAUGGACCUGCGUUGUAUUAGCUAGUUGGUGGGGUAACGGCUCACCAAGGCGACGAUACAUAGCCGACCUGAGAGGGGGAUCGGCCCCACUGGGACUGGGACACGGCCCAGACUCCUACGGGAGGCAGCAGUAGGGAAUCUUCGGCAAUGGACGGAAGUCUGACCGAGCAACGCCGCGUGAGUGAAGAAGGUUUUCGGAUCGUAAAGCUCUGUUGUAAGAGAAGAACGAGUGUGAGAGUGGAAAGUUCACACUGUGACGGUAUCUUACCAGAAAGGGACGGCUAACUACGUG
rnacentral:rRNA from 1 species